GGAAGUAAAAAUCGUAACAAGGUUUCCGUAGGUGAACCUGCGGAAGGAUCAUUAUUGCAUAACCGAGGUGCGAGGGCUGUCGCUGACCCGAAAGGUCGUGCACGCCCGAGUGCCCUCACACACAUCCAUCUCACCCCUAUGUGCACCACCGCGUGGGUCCCCCUUUGGCUUGUUCGGAGGGGGGCUUACGUUUUCACACAAACUUUGUAUGCAGUGUAGAAUGUAUUUUUUGUUUUUGCGAUCACGCAAUCAAUACAACUUUCAACAACGGAUCUCUUGGCUCUC
rnacentral:misc_RNA from 1 species